AAUCAACGCUGGCGGCGUGCCUAACACAUGCAAGUCGAACGAGAAGGUGACUUCGGUCACUGGAUAGUGGCGUCCGGGUGAGUAACACGUAGGUAAUCUACCUUCGGGUGGGGAAUAACGUCUCGAAAGAGACGCUAAUACCGCAUAAUGCAGCGGCACCUAAUGGUGAUUAGUUGUUAAAGCGGGGGAGUCUUCGGACCUCGCGCCUGAAGAGGAGCCUGCGGCAGAUUAGCUAGUUGGUGAGGUAAUGGCUCACCAAGGCUUCGAUCUGUAGCUGGUCUGAGAGGACGGCCAGCCACACUGGCACUGACACACGGGCCAGACUCCUACGGGAGGCAGCAGUGGGGAAUUUUGGGCAAUGGGCGAAAGCCUGACCCAGCAACGCCGCGUGAAGGA
rnacentral:rRNA from 1 species